rnacentral:lncRNA from 1 species
UUAAUAUGGAAUGCUCUGAGCAAUACUGGCACGCACGCUGGCAUCGGCAGCCACAGCACGAAGGGCUCGGCAGGGAAGGCCGCUCCUCCUCUUCCUCUAUGCCGCCAGCUCCACCGCCCCCUCCUCCUCGCUGUCCGCCCGGUUGGCACGGAUCUCCACCAGGGUCCGAGCGAAACGCGUCCAUUCGUCGUUGUGCGGGACCGCCAGCUCUCCAACAUCAUAGAUCCAUAUGCGGCCUUCUGAAUCACCAACUGCUACCUCCUUCCCAGCCUGGGCCCAGCGGACACGGUUGAGGGCAGAAGCUCCUUCUAUUGUCACGCUGGCUGUG